GCCCCGGUGGCGAAAUUGGUAGACGCAUCGGACUUAAAAUCCGCGGCCGCAACACACGCGGCGUGGGGGUUCGAUUCCCCCCCGGGGCACCA
rnacentral:tRNA from 1 species